CACACGAGCACUUUAAAGGCAUUUGAAGAAAAAGACAUCUCACACAAAGGAGUUGCAUCCGCAGACACACGCCAAAGUUUAAUCUCUUUUUCAGAAGCGGUCUUUUCCGAAACCGGAGAUCACCGAUCUCUUUUACGGCUGGAAAGGCGUAGCCUCCAACGCAGUGGGCACCAGUAAUUAUCAUGCAAUAAAGAAACGAAGCAAAAGUGCAUUUUUAUUUCAAGUGUACACAUCACAAAAAAGGGUUUUGUCUUUCGUUGAACCUUAAGUAGGCGCAGUUUUGCACUUUUUGCACGGCACUCUCGUAAGCAGUUCGAAAAUAUCACGUGACGCUAACAGACGAUGCAAAUUCGCGCCAUUUUCUGCGACCAUGGCUACGGCGAGCGGUACCGACGAACAGCCUCCGGCACGCCAAAGAAAACCGCGGGUACAGUGGUCGGAGAGAGACACCUGGGCGUUAAUCAAGUUAUGGGAAGACAACCUGCCCUCGCUGCGUGCGCAGAAGCACAACGGAGGCGUUUACGAUGGCAUUGCACAAGCAUUGACGAGCAUGGGUGUACCUCGCACAAAGGCGCAAGUGCACAGCAAGAUAGAGAACCUGGGACAGACCUACAGGAGCUGCCUGAAACACAUGACAACAGGGUCAUCACCGCCGAGCUGGCCAUUCUUCUCCGAAGUCCAUAGGUUUCUAGGAUCCCUGCCUGUUCACGAUACAUCUUUAAUGGAAGAGGCUGGGUGCAGCGAGAGCACAACAAGCAGCACUGCCUCCGUCGAAGAAGUAAGAAAUGCAUAGUGGAGACUAUAUAUGCUUUAUUACAGUCAACUAAAUUUCAAGACAUAAUGUAGCAUCAGCUGUGCUGCCAAGCCCAUAAUCUGCACAACCCUGCAGUGUAGCGGACUGCUCUUGUUAAUACUGUGGUUCAUUUCUGCUUGUGCUCACGCGCUGUUCAUUUUGCAAGCUUGGCAGUGCGCUGUUUGGAGAAUAAAAAAAAUGCAGACUCUAAAAUAAAAAAA